CAAACGGCUCUUUUCAGAGCCAAAAGGGAUUUUUUUGUCCAUUUUAU
rfam:Corvus brachyrhynchos isolate BGI_N302 unplaced genomic scaffold scaffold229, whole genome shotgun sequence.